rnacentral:rRNA from 3 species
UACUGGGUAUUUUUAGUGGCGAAAGGGUGCGUAACACGUGGGUAAUCUACCGUAAAGUUCGGAAUAACUUCGAGAAAUCAAAGCUAAUACCGAAUGUGAUCUGACAGGGACAUCCCUGUUCCAUUAAAGCUAGGGACCUUCGGGCCUGGCGCUUUACGAUGAGCCCGCGCCCUAUCAGCUUGUUGGUGAGGUAAAAGCUCACCAAGGCUAAGACGGGUAGCCGGUCUGAGAGGACGAUCGGCCACACUGGAACUGAGACACGGUCCAGACACCUACGGGUGGCAGCAGUCGAGAAUCAUUCACAAUGGGGGAAACCCUGAUGGUGCGACGCCGCGUGGGGGAUGAAGGUCUUCGGAUUGUAAACCCCUGUCAUUUGUGAACAAACCUUUUGGUUUAAUAGAUCAAAAGCUGAUAGUAGCAAAAGAGGAAGGGACGGCUAACUCCGUGCCAGCAGCCGCGGUAAUACGGAGGUCCCAAGCGUUGUUCGGAUUUACUGGGCGUAAAGGGUGCGUAGGUGGCCAGGAAAGUUUGAUGUGAAAGCUCCGAGCUCAACUCGGAAAAUGCAUUGAAUACUACUUGGCUUGAGGAUCGGAGGGGAGACUGGAAUUCUCGGUGUAGCAGUGAAAUGCGUAGAUAUCGAGAGGAACACCAGUGGCGAAGGCGAGUCUCUGGACGAUUCCUGACACUGAGGCACGAAAGCUAGGGGAGCAAACAGGAUUAGAUACCCUGGUAGUCCUAGCCGUAAACGGUGCACACUUGCUGUAGGAGGAUUCGACCCCUUCUGUGGCGGAGCAAACGCG